UUACAAUCCCCCACACACUCUCUAGAGCUCCUUUGUUCUUUCGCUUUGGUUUGCUCCUCUCUUAUCCAAUUCCAAUCGAUCGAUCGAUCGAUUGACCGAUUGCUAUGGCAAGCAGCAAGACUCGAUUGGUGUGCCUUGGUUGUGAUGUUUGUGAUGCUCCUGGCGGUGGGAGUGGAGGUCGGGGGGAUCACCAAGGCGGUGGCGCAGCGCUGCCGCAGGGGAUGGUACUGGAAUGGAUCUCGCUGCGUGCAAUGCAAUUGGUACUGGUAUGACAACGGCUGCCAUCGAUGCCAGCGUGGGUGGCGCUGGAAUGGCAGCCGCUGCGUCAAUUAAUGAAAGUUUGUGAGUGAUCUCUGGGGCCUGGAACCAUAGGAGCGAAUGUCGAAUGGGUGAAGAAGUACAUAGAAUAAAACUGUGGCUUCGAAACGAGAAUGUUUUGGAGUCCUAUAGAAUCUUGUGUGAAAUCUAUUCCGAUGUUCAGGCUCUGAGACUAUCAAUGAUAAAUAUGGUCUGUUUUCUGGAAAGUUGUCAGCCACAAUUAAAAGUGUAUUUAUACCUAUAUUACUGCCCUUUAAAGGCUUUUGGGUGAUGUUAACAAGUUUCUGCUAGCAUUGUUUGCAGAUAACUUUGCCGUUUGCUAGACUUGGUCUUAAUUUGGUUUUCUAAAUACAUAGUACUCUCGAUAAUACGGAAGUAAAGCUAUUUGUCCUUCCACAUCGACUUGACAAAGUCUGUCGUAGCUACACUGGUUAGCUAGCUCUGGAGACAUGUCUAUAUUAUAAUGUUGUUAGUGUUAUAUUGAUCGUGAGCCAAGCGUAAUCUUUAGAGAUUAAUAGAGAAAAUAUAUUACGCAGCUCAAACUAUUCUAAUGCCAGUUUUUCUGGCAACGGUGGCAGCCAUUGUCAUAAUAAACCACUGGGAAACAACCAAAUUCCGAUUCUUCCCACGUCAGCGUUUGUGAUCCACUCCCAUUACCAGGAGCACUUGUCCAUCGCCAUUGCUGCCACUCUGCAAGAGAAAAGAACAAAAAACCAUAAUCAAUCAAUACAAGUUUCCUUUCAGAUGAUCUUGGAUUCUUGUUCUUUUCGACUAUAUAGCAAAGCAAGACUCAACUGGUUUGCCUUGGGCUUGUUGCCAUGUUUGUGGCCAUGGGAGUGGACAUGCGAGGAAUCGCAAAGGUUGCUGCCAAGCGCUGCCAGUGGUACUGGUAUGGCAAUGGUUGUCACCGGUGCCCAAAAAGCUGGUAUUGGUAUGGCGGAAGUUGCCACUGAUGCCAGAGCGCCCCUGCUGGAAAAACAGAGAUCUCCGGGAUCAUGGAUAAGCACAAGAAUUAACAGCAUAACUCGUAAGGUUUUUCAUGUUCACCAGGAUCUUCUGAAUAUCUAUGCUGUUGUUUUAGAUCUUGUGUAUUAGAAUUAAAAAAAAAAUUCAUCCAAUGUAAAAAUGUUUUUUGUGUGAUCAGGUCAUUCAGCUUUUCUUGGGUGGCGGUUGUUUCUCUCCUUUUGUCAUGUUGGUGUUGUUAUGUAGCAAACUGAAUAGCAAGAAUAAUUGAUGCCGUAAACACAAAUACCAGUUUACGGCAUCAAUAGUUCUAGUAGAUCUAUACCAGUAUUUUAUUGUUUGGCGGUUUUUGGCCGGCGCCUGAUCUGCAAGCUCCAAAACCCAACCCGAUCAAGCCAAGAAAAAGCAAUAAUUUCAAGAGUAUGUGGCUUUGUCCUAACUAAAUAAUGUACUAGAAGCUCAUAAUAUAGUGGAUACGAACGCAUGUUGUACCAGAGAUCAGGUCAAGUUGUGUUGGAACAAACAUAAAACUACUAAAAAUUGUAUGAUUCAUUGAAAGAGUGAACAGAAGAAUCAUAUUCUUAUCAAUAUUUCUUCUUUCUGCUCCAAGUAUUAUAGGUCAAGUCGCGGAGGUAAUGGAGAAGUUGGUUUGCCACGAGAGACUUUUAAUUCAAAGAGUGUUGGAAACAAAGGUAUGCUCUCGAUCUGCGUCCCAGUGAUCGAUUAGAUCCAAUCUUUUGUUAAAGUAAAUAUAAUAUACGACCAUAAUAUUAACAGACUUCGUCAAAUCGAGAAGGAAGAAAACAAGAUUGGAAAGCUUUUUUUCCAUAUUACCUCGUCGUACUUAGGAAACCAAGUUGUCAACGAAUUUGAUCCUUCCCAAGACCAAGUCUCCAAGUAAAAUCCGCGCGUCAACCGCUGCCAAAAAACCACGAGGAAACUUUCUCGGUUGUUAUAGAGAGACUCCCUCUUCUAUCCAGAGGAUCCGCAAAGACUCGUUGUUCUUUUUACUUGCAGUAGCAGUGUGUUCAGAGGUAGGAUCUGGUCCAGCUACAAUUCGGACUUAUCUAAGUCUUGACGUGUACACAGUAGCACCCAGGAGGUAGUACCCAGGAGGCAGAUUUGAAUCUGAUCUCUUUUCCAGACUAAGUCUAGCUAACACGAUUGCUCGGUCGUUGCAAGGGGCGUAUAUAUAACGCGCCUCACUCGAUCAAGACGAAAUCACCACACUUUCACUUCUCUUAUAAUCCACAGGUUUUACUCUUAGAGUGGCAGCAAUAGCGAUGGACAAAAUUCGUCUGGCUUGCCUUGGGCUUGUUGCCAUGUUUGUGUUGCUCCUGGUAAUGGGAGUGGACGUGGGAGGAAUCGCAAACGCUGCUGCCCAGCGCUGCCAGUCGGGGUGGUAUUGGUAUGACAAUGGUUGCCACCGUUGCCCGAGGGGUUCGAGCUGGCGCAACAAUCGCUGCUGGAGAAACUGAAGCCUCUGCUUUUAAGGGUAAGCGCAAUUCUCAAUUCAACUCGUAAUCUCUAUGAGUGCAUUGCCAGGGUCUGGAAAUAAGAAUAAAAGACACCGGACGGUAACAUGUUUGUGUGGAACAAAUAAAAUUUUUUUUUGUCUUUUUCUUUCUUUUUUUUCUUUUUUGCUUCAUCUCGAGAGUUUUGAGCUCCCGUGGCAAUACUUCCUCAUCGUCUAGCAACCUUUCUUCUUGGUUUACAAACUAGAAAAUUAAGCUUUUUGGAUCAAUGGCUCAUCUUCGUGUUGGGAAUGGAACCCAUGUUAUGAGACAACCACAUGAUUUGCAGCUGGAAGUAACUCGCAUGAUGAAGGCGGCUACGAACGCAUUAUCGAGCAACAUCAGGUUCGAGAUAGUCGGAGGACCUCUUUCUUUUCGAUUCGGUGCCACAGAUAAUCACGCAAGUAGCAGGAUGACUCAUGCCUCGAGGUGAGACAAUCGAUGCUACUGGCUGAUCGCAAAUUGAUCGACCACGUGGUAGAAGUGAUUCCAAACACUCCAGCCAAAUUUUCAUUAAUAUCAUAUAUUAAAUCGACAAUAAGAGCUGAGGGUGUCUAUAUACUCGAGCAACUAUUGCCUGAUAAAUCUAACCAGAAUUAUAUAACAUUAAAAUAGCAUUAAUAAUGAAAUUAACAUUAUAUUAUAGAGAUAUAUGAGUGUAUACUAUUAAGUCGAUGUGGAACGACGAAAAGCGUAUUAGAAAACCAAAUUGUCAAUAAAUCUGAUCCUUCCCAAGACCAACCGAUGAGCCACAAAGUUACCCACAAACAAUGCACGUGGAAACUUGCUUCGUCGCAAGGUGAGUAUAUAGAUACCCCUCUCAGGAGAGGUUUCCACAAUCUCUCUUCUAACAGAUUCAGUGCUCAGAAGAUCUUCGAAGAAGCUCUCUAAUGCUUAUUUGGUUUCUUGUUCUUUUCGCUUGCAAUAGCGGUCCAGCGAUGAGGAAGAGUCAGUUGGUUUGCCUUGGGCUUGUUGCCAUGUUUGUGAUGAUGCUGGCCAUGGGAGUGGAAGGGGGAGGAAAGGUUGCUGCCCAGCGCUGCCAGAGAGGGUGGUACUGGUAUUACAAUGGUUGUCAUGACUGCCCGAAAUGCUGGUAUUCCAAAGCGGCUGGAGCUGGGCCAAUGGCCGCUGCUGGAAAAACUUAGAUAUCCGUAGUCAUGCCAAAAGUCUAUCAACAUCAUAAUUCGGAAGGUUUUGUUUGAAUGAUGUAAGAUCCUCCUAAAUCCUAAUUAGGAUAAAACGAUUGUUUGUGAUCUGUUUAAUUUCAUCUGGAGUAGAUUCUUGUCUCCAGUCACGGAGCUUUUCUUGCGUGGCAAUUCUUUGGUUGUUAUAUAGCAAACAGAACAGCAAGAAUUAUGUUACUGAUCUUUAAGUUUUUUGCGGUAUUUGGCCAGCGCUGGUGUUCGGAUAAGAUAAGAAUUGCCUGGUCUGCAAGCUCCAAAAACCGAUCAAGCCAAGAGAAUCUGGUGUAUGUGGUUUUGUCCUUUAAAGUCCACAGGAAUGUACUAACACGAACGCAUGUUGUACAAGAGAUCAGGCCAAGUUGGAACAAACGUAUUACUAAAAACUAUAUGAUUUAUCGAAAGAGUGAACAGAAUUACAUAGCUAGCCAAUGGUCAUAUUUUUAUUCUUUCGUUGGUCCAAGUCAAACAGUGUAAAAGUCUGUAAAGAAAAAAACACAUUGGUGGCAACACUGCUCUUCUCGACAAGCUCUCACAGCUCUACAGUCGCUUCCAACUGUAACAGCGUAAAUUCCAGCACACCAGACUUUUCAAGGCCUGUGCGAAUGCAUUGAGAAAGAGGUCUCUGGAAACACCUGCAGUAACGAAGUAAUUUAAGACUUUCGUGCGCUACCGUUUAUGAGAAGCACAGCGAGCUCCAUGAGCAGCAAAGGACCCCCUACAAACAAAGACAUUGAGAAGAUGGAAACAAAAACUAAGAGAGAAAUACCUGUGAGAGUGAGCUCAUGCGAGACAAGCACCACAAUCCUUCCACGCAUAAAAUGUAGGCCAUGGGAAGGAGUAUCGCGCCGCUCCCUCACUCACCAAAAGAAGCCCUAGAAAUCCAAAUGCCGCGACCCCCGAGCUUGAGAAGCGAUCGCAAUCCCACCUUGCGCUUGAUCGCUCCUAUUCCCGUCUAAAGAACAAAGAAAAAGAUCUGCAAUCCUGACCGUUCAAACUCAGCGUUGGCGAUUAUGCCAAGUGGCAACCGAUUUUAACAAAUGCAAACCUUAAUUGAGUCUUUUCAAAUGGUGGGCGCGAAUUGUAAUGAAAGACUUUGGCCUGGAGCCGCGCGGUCUUUGUAUCUAUCCACACACUCUCGACGCUAUAUAAACACCACAUCUCUUACAAUCCCCCACACUCUCUCUAGUGCUCCUUUGUUCUUUCGCUUUGGUUUGCUCUUUCUCUCUUCUCCAAUUCCAAUCAAUCAAUCAAUCGAUUGACCGAUUGCUAUGGCAAGCAGCAAGACUCGAUUGGUGUGCCUGGGCCUGGUUGUGAUGUUUGUGAUGCUCCUGGCGGUGGGAGUGGAGGUCGGGGGGAUCACCAAGGCGGUGGCGCAGCGCUGCCGCAGGGGAUGGUACUGGAAUGGAUCUCGCUGCGUGCAAUGCAAUUGGUACUGGUAUGACAACGGCUGCCAUCGAUGCCAGCGUGGGUGGCGCUGGAAUGGCAGCCGCUGCGUCAAUUAAGGAAAGUUUGUGAGUGAUCUCUGGGGCCUGGAACCAUGGGAGCGAAUGUCGAAUGGGUGAAGAAGUACAUAGAAUAAAACUGUGGCUUCGAAACGGGAAUGUUUUGGAGUCCUUGUGUGAAAUCUAUUCCGAUGUUCAGGCUCUGAGAUUAUCAAUGAUAAAUAUGGUGUGUUUUCUGGAAAGUGGUUGUCGCAGUGUAACGUUCGCAAAAUGCAUGCAUUUUUAAUAUAUAACUUUGCAUGCGAUUUCAUAUAUUCAGCCAACAAACUUUCCAACUGUGCAGAGAAUGACCAAGAAAAUCUUAACAUUGACGUACACUAAAAUAGAAAGAAAGCCAAAUAUUGAGAUUGAAGAACAGGUGGUUCUUCAGAAAUCUGGAAUCAAUCUAUGCAUGGAUGUAAAGCGUCCAGCUUUCGGUAACAUUAUAAAUGUAAACACAACAGUUCCAAAAGCAAUAUAAAUAGCUAAGUGUUUUUGUUUUGUCAAUGAAAAGCUGUUUAUUUUGUCCCGAGACUUUGCCAUCCUAGUCUCGACGUGGAACUUAAAAGAAGAUGCAAAAGCUCUGGCAUGUGACACAGUAGUCAGGAGGCAAAUUUGUCAACGAAUCUGAUCUCUUUUACAGACGAAGUCUAGCAGUUUUACCACAUACGGCACAAUUAUACACACGGAAAUUUGCUCGGUCGUUGCAAGGGACGUAUAUGAAACGCCCCUCUCAAUCGAGACGAAAUCAUCAUUCGUCUGGCUUGCCUUGGGCUUGUUGCCGUGUUUGUGUUGCUCCUGGUAAUGGGAGUGGACGUGGGAGGAAUCGCAAACGCUGCUGCCCAGCGAUGCCGGAGAGGGUGGACAAAGGUUGCCACCACUGCCGAAAGGGUUGGAGCUGGCGCAACAAUCGCUGCUGGAGAAACUGAAGUCUCUGCUUUUAAGGGUAAGCGCAAUUCUCAAUUCAACUCGUAAUCUCUAUGAGUGCAUUGCCAGGGUCUGGAAACAAGAAUAAAAGACACCGGACUGAUGUUUGUAUGGAACAAAUAAAAUAUAUUUUUGUGUUUCUCUUUUUUCUGUUUUUUGCUUCAUCUCUGGAGACACUGAAACUUCAGGUUUUAAGGGGUAAGUGCAAUUCUCAAAUCAACUCGUAAUUUCUAUGAUUUCAUCAUGCUGCACUGUCAGGGUCUGGAAACAAGAAUAAAAGACACUUUGUAUCUUGCAGCAAUAAUAACAUACAUAUAAAACUUUGCUUCAUCUCGAGAGUUGUGAGCUCGGGUGGAAUUACUUCGCAAACUUUCUUUGUUUACAAACUAGAAGAUUAAGCCUUUUAGAUCAAUGUCUCAUCUUCGUGUUGGGAAUGGAACCAUGAGAUAAAGCCACCUGAUUUGCUUUACCGAGUAGAGCUUGCAUGAUGAAGCCGGCCACUGCAUUAUCGAGCAACAUUGGGGGACCUCUUUCGUUUCGCUUGGGUGCCACAGAUAAUCACACAGGUAGCAGGAUGACUCAUGCCUGGUAUCACGAGAGACUUUGCAUGAUCCAAGUGGAAGGCAUGCUUUCUAUCUGCUGCGACCCAGCUCCUGCAAAUUGAUCGACCACAUGGUAGAAGUGAUUCCAAACACUCCAACAUUAUUAGUUGAAAUUUCCAUUAAUAUCACAUACUAAAUCGACAAUAAGAGUUCAGGAACCUCUUGAGAGGGUGUCUAUAUACUCGCAACCGAGAAAGCAUUUCCCGAUCUAACUCGUACUUUACAGCAGAAGCAGCAGGGGCGAUGAGCAAGACCCUGAUUUGUUGUUGCACCAAAAAGGUGCAGCAAAUUGACUAACAUUAUAUCAACGGCGCUCGUUUUGGAGCUUACUGCUACGACAGACUUUGUCAAGUCGUUGUGGAAGGACGAAAAGGUUAUUUUUCCGUAUUAUUGAGAGUACUACGUACUUAGAAAAUCAAUUUGUCAACGGAUCUGAUCCUUCCCAAGACCAAGUCUAGCGAACGGCGCGCGUCAACCGAUGGGACACAAAGUUAUCCGCAAACAAUGCACGCGGAAAUUUGCUCGGUCGUUGCAAGGGCGAGUAUAUAGAUACCCCUCUCAAGAGAGGGUUCCACAAUCUCUCUCCUGGCCAUCAUCCUGAUUCAGUGCUCAAAGAUCAGAAGAAGCUCUUUAAUAGUUCUGAUUUGGUUUCUUGUUCUUUUCGUCAGUCAAAGUAUAUAGCAAUGGCGAUGAGCAAGACUCAGCUGGUUUGCCUUGGGCUUGUUUCCAUGUUUGUGAUGAUGCUGGCCAUGGGAGUGGACAUGGGAGGAAUCGCAAAGGUUGCUGCGCAGCGCUGUCCGAUAGGGUGGUACUGGUAUGACAAUGGUUGUCACCCCUGCCUGAAAAACUGGUAUUGGUAUGGCGGAAGCUGCCACCGAUGCCAGAGCGGCUGGAGCUGGCGCAAAGGCCGCUGCUGGAGAAACUGAGGACUUUAAGCCCAAACACACCAAGUAUAAAAAGAUAUGAUGCGAUGUAAAAAUGUUGUUAUUAAACUAUUUAACUCAUCUCGAGAGUUUACUUAGAUUCUUGUCUCCAGGCACUGAGCUUUUCCUGGAUGGCAGUUCUUUCGCUCCUUAUUUCAUGUUGGUGUUGUUACGUAGCAAACGGAACAGCAAGAACAACAGAUGCCGUAAACACAAAGAUCAAUUUACAGCAUCAAUUGUUGUCGUAGAUCUAUACCAGUCUUUUAGUUUUUUGGCGGUGUUUGGCCGGCGCUGGUGUUCGGAUAAGAUAGGAAUUGCCUGGUCUGCAAGUUCCAAAACCCAACCUGAUCAAGCCAAGAAGAAGCAAUAAUUUCGAGAGAGUCUAAAAGUAAUGUAUAUGUUGUACCAGAGAUCAGGCCAAGUUGUGUUGGAACAAACACAAAAUUACUAAAAAUUACAUGAUUCAUCCACAGAGUGAACAGAAGAACACGGCUAGCCAUAUUCUUAUCAAUAUUUCUUCUUUCCAUUGGUCCAAGUCAAGAGCCGCUCAAACAGAAACAAGAGUCUGUACAAAAAUCUCCCUGUAUAUACCGUGUAUACACCGUGGCCACAAGUCUAUUAUAAUUGACUCUACAUGUAAUCUCUUCAUACUUCUCGGCACUAUAAAUGCCUCCUCGGCCUUCAUUGGCAUCAUCCAUCCCAGAAAUCAAAGCUUCUCACAGCAAACUUCUCUCCAAAAUCUUUCUCAUCUCACUCAACUCAAUCAAGAAGAAUUCUUCGCUAAUGGCAAUGGUGGCGAGCUACUCUUCUCGCGUGGCCUUCAUUGGAGUGGUAGUCGUGCUCCUCUUAAUCGGCGUGGACGUUGGCAAUGGCAUCGCAAAGGCCCAGGCACAGAGCUGUCGGUCCGGUUGGCACUGGUCCGGUGGCAAGUGCAUCCAAUGCCCGGCCGGGUGGUACUGGUACAAUAGCAGGUGUAACCAGUGCCUGUCCGGGUGGUACUGGUACAAUGGCAAGUGCAACCAGUGCCAGUCCGGUUGGUACUGGUACAGUGGUAGCUGCCACCAGUGCCAGUCCGGUUGGUACUGGUACAACAACAGUUGCAACCGGUGCCCAUUGGGGCGGAGCUGGACUGGUACUGGCUGCUCCAAGAACUGAGGAAGAAAUUUACCAUUAUUCCACAUGGUAAAAAGAGAUUAUAUGGUGUGUGCUUUGUUCUUUGUUUGUGUGACUGGAUUUCGUUUUUUUACUGUGUGUCGAAGUAAAUAAUGCCAAGGUUGUUUGGCAGAGUUUGAUAUCUUUUGUCUAUUCGCUCUUUAAGAAAUUUACCUUGUUUUAUCCUUCGCGCUCUAAAGACGUAGACGAUAUCUUGGUAAAUAUUUCCAGGGUUUUUCGAUGAUGCUCGUCGAGGAGCGCCACUGGGAAUCCGCGCGGCGCGGCGCGGCGAGCUGGAUGCGCCGGAUCGAGCGCCAGCGAUUGAUUCCCGUGGAAUGCAGGUCCCGGGAGCUCGAUCGGCUAAUGCUGCCGGCAACCCUAGGAGAGGGCGGUGAUUUCAAAUGCGCUUCGCUCAAUCAUUCCACUCGAGAAUCCUCCCGGCGAUGAGCGGACACGAUCGCAGAUCUGGCGCCCAGGUGAGUGGAGUGAAAGCGAGUGCUAUCUAGCCUGGCGCGUCAAAGUACUCGCUUGUCGUCGUGCUCUCCUGCUGUAGGGUUGUGCGCAGUCCUUGGCGAUGGCGCAUCGUCGUAGCUUCCGGGACGCUAUCGAAAUUCUCAAUGGUCUAAUCACCAAGAAGCGUGGAGGAGGGGGAGCAGUGGUGGAUUUGGAUCGUUCGCCAAGCACCCACGAUAGCAGCCGAUGGGAGAACCAUUUCCAGCUCGUUGCUGACCAUCUAAAGGUACCAUUUUUUCUUCGGUUUUUGGUUUCUUCUCGAGCUUUUUUUUUUCCUCCUUCAGUUGCUCGGGUUGGAGGAGCCAGUAUCGAAAUUAAGCGUAAUUCAUGUGGCUGGAACCAAGGGAAAGGUACUCAAAACCAGUUUCUUUCUUUUUGACGAGCCUAGUCUGUGACAGGGUUCUACUUGUGCAUUUGUGGAGAGAAUUUUGCGAGCGUCUGGUUUCCGGACUGCUCUUUUCACCUCGCCUCAUUUGCUAGACAUUAGAGAACGAUUUAGAUUGAACGGGUAAGUGUUGUGAUGGCAUUAUCAAGUUUACAGUGUUCGUUUAAAUCAGGGAGGAGGUCUCCGAGGAGACUUUUAACAAGUAUUUUUGGUGGUGUUGGGAUCAUCUCCAGGUUGGUUAACGCGAUUUGUUCUUUUUAUUUUGUAAUUGAUAGGCAAAUGCAGGCAAAUGAGGCCGAGCAGGGGCUCCCUAUGCCACGUCUCUUUCGGUUCCUCACAAUUUUGGCAUUCAAGAUGUUUACGUCGGAGGAUGUGAGAAAACUAGACUAUGUUUUUUAAUAUUGCUUUACGGCUUAACUCGUGACCAACAGGUUGACGUUGCUAUCUUGGAAGUCGGUUUAGGAGGUCGCUGUGAUGCAACCAAUGUGGUAAGCAGCUCCGCUGCCGAUGAAGUUGACUUGUCCUUUUGUUUCUCAGGUUCGAAAUCCAGCCAUCUGUGGAGUAGCAUCACUCGGCUACGACCAUAUGGAGAUUCUUGGUUUCCUUUUUUUAAUAUCAUCGUUCGCUUGCUGACGUGCUCGUUUGUAGGAAACACACUCGCGGAAAUUGCAACGGAGAAGGCUGGGAUUUUCAAGGUACUUGUAUCUAGAUUUAUCUAUUCUUCUUACGUCUUGGCACCGGUUGAAGGCAGGCGUACCAGCUGUUACAGUGCCACAGCCAGCUGAAGCAUUGGAGGCUCUGAAGAAGCGUGCCUUGGAGCUAAAUGUGGGCAUUGUUUUUGUGUAAAUCUAGGCCGAGCUGACGCAUUCUUUGUGAGCAGAUACCUUUGGAAAUUGCUCCUCCUCUGGAAACUUAUAAUCUGGGAGACUUAAAGCUUGGACUGCAAGGAGAGCAUCAACGGACCAAUGCUGCUCUUGCCGUGAGGCUUUGCAGAGGCUGGGCGGAGAGAUCCGAUCACCAAGAGCACAAAGCAAUCCUGAACGAGGUAAGCGUUUUAAUUGUUCUUUUCUACUUGAGCUCCUUUUCUCGUUGCGAAGGCUCUUGAGCAAGGUCGUUUACCUGAUUCAUACAUUAAGGGGCUCGUUGAAGUGCGGUGGGCAGGAAGAGCAGAGAUUGUCCGUGAGAAGAAGCUAAGCUUCUACCUGGACGGGGCUCAUAGCCCAGAAAGUAUGGAAGCCUGUGCUAAGUGGUUUUCUUCCGCUGCUAGAGCCGACAACAUCCACAAAGAGAAUGAAGAAAUAUCGGCAUUCGAUAUUAAGCAGUUUUACACACCAACUUCGAACUCUAGACAGGUGAAUUUUGUUGAGUUGGCUAACGAUAUCAGCGUUAUUUGUCUGUGUAGAUCUUACUCUUCAAUUGCAUGCCCAAGCGCGAUCCCAACCUUCUAUUCCCACCCUUGCUAGAUAUCUGCAAACAACAAGGUUUUUCGACUUGUUGAAGCAAAGCUCUUUGGCUGAAAGUUCAUGUUUCUUGUUUGUAGAUAUUUCACUCGAGCUGGCGAUAUUCGUACCCCCGUACUCGAGCUACACGUCAAUUGACAACACUCACGAUUCUCCCGUUGAUCCAGAUCUCUCGUGGCAAAAGGUGUUACAGCAGCACUGGGAGUCCUUCAAGGAGAAAGGUAAAAUAUCGAGCUAGUUUUCCAACUGGAACUGCUUGCGAAUUAUCUUGCAGAUUCGAAAGCCGAAGACUAUCGUCGAGAGUUUCUUUCCGGCCUGGAAAACGGCUAUAGCUCAUGCCAUUUUGGAGUUUCCAGUGCAGUGAUGCCAUCGCUACCAGCAGCCAUUGAUUGGCUGCGCUUUUGCUCAGCUCGCCAUCCAAAUCUUCAUCUCCAGGUACUUGGUGAAAACUCUUUAUGGCGUAAGCGGUUGUUUCUCUCUCAGGUUUUGGUGACUGGUUCUUUGUAUUUGGUUGGCGAUGUUUUGCGGCUGCUCAAGUAAAAGCUUGGUGCCUGAAAGAUUCCACGUUUGAUGGCCAAUCUCACCCGUUGGAUCACACUUCCCAUAUGUUGAUAACCCUGGAGGAUUUGGUAGCAUACAAUUUCAACUGGAACCUGCAGAGGUUCUCGGUCCGCGAGGAUGAUGUGUUCUAAAUUCCAUUCUCUCAUCACACUAAUCUUUUUAUAAGAAAGUCUUUCAAGCUGUUCUCACUUGUUGCAUUUCUUCUUGUGGUUUUCGUUGGCUUCUUAAGUUGUGCUAGUGAUAAUUGUGAUGGCUCUUUUUCUUGUGGUUCUGCAAUGUCAAGUUACACCGAUGGAACUAUUUACAAUGGAUAUACUUCUCUCGUUUCUGGUCACUGUACUGCCAUCUUCACUUGUAGUGGAGCCUAUCACAAGCAACAAUUCCCUACACGUUUAUAAUAAUCAGCCUAGUGAAAAAUGUGGGAGUCAUGUAUUUUGUAAGUGCCAGGCUACCCUCAACUAUUCUGGAAAUUGCAGAGACUCUGGGAAUCCUAACUAUGUCUCAAACUAAAGUCUCAAAACUGAAGUCUAAUUUCUGAUAAUAAUAAACUAUAUACUUUUAAUGUUUAUUUAGUAAUUUUGUGUUUAUAAAAAAAUUACUGCAGUAUGUUUCCUUUGCCUUGUUAUAUUCUUUUUGGAUAAAUCAAUUAUCCAGCUAUGAUUCUCAAGCUUUACAAGCUCAACAUCUCUCCUAAGUUUAUUUCUUGGAUAUUACUUCCAUGCAAAUGCGCACCACUUAUCCCACUUGUCAGUACACAAAAAUUUAUAAACAGAUCUAUAUUGUCUAGUAAACUCUAUUGUCACUACUUGGGGUUUGCAAAGCUAGGCUGAUUCGUUGAAAUAUGAGAGCUAGUUUUCUGUAUGCAUAAGCAUGGACAUUUUUACAAAAUUGUCACAGCUCAAAUUCUGAAUAGUAACACGAAAGAGAAAGAACAGUCAAGCUCUCUUGUGACGGUGUAUGAGACUUGUUGUCUAAUAGGAAGGUAUGAAACUCACUGCAACAAAUUGCAGGAAAGUAAAAGAAAUGGCAAAAAGCUCAAGUGGAGAAGAAAACUGCCAUAAGCCAUGGAUCUAUAGGCUGAAAUAUCAAAAUUCAAGUCACAAAAAGAUUUCACAGCAGCAUACCUUUUGCAAGCUGUGCACUGCUACCAUUGCCACGAUGCCUAGCCAGUGCCUUGUCAUCCCCCUCCCUUGCAUUAGCUAGCACAAAACUAGUGCCAGAUCUAUCAUGUAGUGUGCAUGACCUUAAACUGUAAUAGCUAAGUGCUACUCUUAAGCCUGAAAGAACAAAUUGGGCUUGCAGCCAGCCUUCUCCCAAUUCCACUAGAAAUCCUGCCUAGGAACAUGACCGUGAGGCAUUGUGUGGCACAAGACUAUCUAGGUAUGUUGUGUUUCCACAGCCAACCAUGAGCUAUGUUGGGAUCUCUUCAAUCCUCAUUACAAUCUGAGCUCUCACAUGCUCAAACACUCAAGAUCACAUUUCUCUCUUAAGGAACACUCCAAGGACACUUUUGAACACUUUUAAACGCUUUUAAUGACUGUAAGAAAGAGGUGAGGUCCCAUGCUCCCAGCGAAAUCUCCUCAAAUUGAAUCACAAAUCCCAAAUUGCAAAGGAAUAUCCUAAUGAAUCUCUGCUCUUUGCAUUUACCUUUAACAUUUUCUAGACAUUAAUAUGUUACUCAACUCAUAGAUUCUGAUGGAUAUAAAGCCAAUUUUCCCUUGUGCCACCUUUUACUUCUCCUUGUGUCAACUUCUACUUCUCCUUGGAUUUAUUCUUCUUCAAUCCCAUCCCUUAUUGACUUCACCCUAGCUUUUUUCGGCUGUUCUUUUUUGCUGGAUACGUUGAUUGUAUCUCCUUCUGCAUCUUGAGACUCUCUACAUACAUCCUCUUCCUACUAUUUUAUACACAUACCUUGAUUAUUUAAGAUCUUCUAGCUUCAGGGACAAAGUGAAUAUGAUAAACCUCCUUGAGAAGUUCAUUUGGAAGCUUGAUCACCACCAUGCCACAGCCGUCCACCUGCAGUGUUUGUUGUGGAGCCUGGAAAGGCUUAUAGGUGUGAAACACAACCUUCAAGAGUCAUAUGAAAUUAAGCACCACUAUCCAACCAUAACACCUCUAGAGUAGGCACCAAUGAUAAAUAUUAUCAACAACAAGUUGUUUUGAGUAAGUAUAUGCUGAGUGGCAGCCUUUUAUGCAUGGCAUUCAUGCUCCAUAUGUCCUGUCUUUCUAUAAUAAUUGCAAAGACGCUUUUUCUUCUUAGAGAAAUUAUUUUUAGUGUUAUAGAAGAGUUACGAGACCCACAGAAAGUGCCUCCUUUCUUCUACUCCCCAUUUGACAAUUACGUGGCAAGAAACAAUGCUUACUCACGUGCAAUCUGAGGAGAUCCUGAAUUGCUAGCUCAGCAAUCUUGUGCUCUUCCUCUAGAAGAUUAGAGUAGAGCUAGGAUAAAUGAGAGCAUGGAGGAUGAUUAUUAUAACUCUAGGGAGACAGGGAAGCAAGAAAGCUUUUGCAUAGUCAUUUGAGACUACUUUGCCCACUUGCUUGAGCUGUUGCAUGAUGCCCUUGAGCUUCUUGAUGUAUGCUGCCAUUGUCUCACUGGGUUGCAUGUGUAAGGAGAAACACUUUUGGGUGAGAACCAAUUUAGUGUUAGCAGCUUUGGUUGCAAAGACUUGGGAGAAAGAAUCUCAAUUUUCCUUGGUUAAUUUUUCCAGAUCAAGAAGAUGAAUUAAUUCAUCUCCAAAACCUAGUCCAAUCACUGAACAGGUUCAAGUGUCAAGAGGUCUCGCUUCAGUUCCCUUGACCAAGUCCCAGCAAUCUUUAGCCAUCAAAAUUAACUAGACUUGAGCUUCGAUAUAUUGUGAAGUUUUCACUUCUGAACUUCUGGAGCAACUUCUCCCAUCCUGCAUCCCAGCUGCCAGCCAAAGUGACUGCUAGGGUGGUUUAAGCCAUUAGUUUCUAGAGAAAACUGCUAAGGAAAGCGAGGGAGAGGAGGUGGUGGGAAUCUCUAGAAGGGAUGCUUACACCCUGUGCAUACAGAGCGACAAUGAGGGUAGAAGGAUUGGGUUCACAUUGUGCUCACUUGCAUUCUUAGCAAAGAUUGCAAGAGCCCUAGCACGUUCUUUCUCGUUGCAUUGCUAUGUUUACCAGUGUUUCACCAUCAGGAUCAAAACAAACUUAAUACCAUGUAAAUGUCUGGAUUUUUGUAUAUGGAGUGCUCUCUCAACUUUAUUGCUUUGCUGUAGUUAUGUACAUAAUGGUAUGGGUGUGAACUUGGUGCUUGUUUGCUGAUGUGGAGACUUGCUGUCACUCGUCUCCAGCAAGGGAAGGCACAUGGCUCAGCUAUGGUCUUGUCUGGCUUUAUGAUGUCAGAAACUCUCACUGACCAAGGCUAACAUCAGCUUGGAGCAGACCAAUUCAAGUGAAAAGCAUCACUGACGUAAAUUCUUUUUACGUUCAAGCGAUGGCCACAUCUUGCCUUCCCUUCAACAAGGUUCAUCUUCAACACAACUACAUUUAAGGAGUAUCUAGAGCAGCAACAUACAUAUAGAGGUUUUUUGAUCAUUCGGUUCUUACAUUUUCCUUUCCUUUCUAGUCAAACGUUUUGACAUCAAUUUUUUUUACACCAUGCGGAUAUGUGUGCCUCCUGUCCUGGAAAGUCUCAAACAGAGCUUAAGCAGCCAACAAAAGGAUCCAUGCGUUUUUUCACAUCAAAACAUUUCCAACAUUCUGCAGCAAUGAAAUACCUCUUCUUAUUAGUAGAUGGAGUAGCAUACUGCUCCCCACAAAAAGCCAAGGAGAAGAGUGAGCUGGAGCAGCUUCUUCGUGUCUCGAACCAAAUUACCUUAUGACCAGGAAACUAGCUUUGAGCCACUACUCACCAAAGCCCUUCUUUCACAACAUUGUUGCAGAUAGAAAUGAUUUGAGGUGCAAACACCCCAAGACUGCCUUCCGAGCUUGAGGACGAGCUCCCCUAGUGUGUAUAGGUGCCAAGUGAGGAUAUAUUGGGAUAUUCCCUGGAGAUGGUCUUUUUCAGCUCUCAUCUUGGAGAGUCAUCAUCAUGUGCAUAUCCCACCACCCUCUGUGACAAUUUAUGCCGAUGCCUUAAGGAAAAUGCUGAGCGCCACAACUUAUGAAACCACUUUGUCCUUUGAUUUAGUUCGCUCUUCACAAUAUCUUCUUUCCAUUGAGGGGAAUUAUAUGAGAGACUUGGCAAUGCCCACAAUCAUUCACUCAUGACACCAGAUCGUUGAAGUUGAUCUCCUCUAAAAUCCUUCUUGCAUCAUCUAUGUCUGCAUUUGCCUCUGUAAAAAGGUGGUCAUUUCACCAAUUUGAAUGGAAUUGUUUGGGUUAGUACUUAUCCACACUAUGUUUUUCUAAACCCUUCUUCAUAUUUAGAAUACACUAGCAAUCCCUGAAUCGUUCUUAUUCAUUAUCUUUCAUUUCGGCCAUGCAACUCAGGAACACACUGUGAGUUAUAGCCAAAAAUUUGCAAAAGAUCUCCAAAACCACCACACAGAGGAGCUUAUAGCUCUCUGGUUAUGACAUAUCAACGCCAUUAUCGAGGGCAUCAGCCAUACCGUUGCGAUUUCUCCCCACAUCCACUCCCAUGGCCAGCAUCAUCACAACAAACCAUGGCCCCAUGUUCUUCAUGACUUGCUGCAAAAACUAAGAGAAACAAUCUCUAGUAUACUGGAGAGAGGUGGUUUGAUCUGUGAUGCCCAUCAUAUUUAUAGCUCAAGACGCUAGAAUGCUCUUGGGAAGGCAUCUAGAAUAUUUGAAAGCUAGUUGUUCCGUGUUUGUCAAUUCCUUCUCUUUUCUAUAAUGCUGGGUGGGGCAUGCAACACGAAGAAGGAAGUAAAACUGCCACGCAAGAAAAAAUCAGUGGGCAGGCCUGGAGUCAAAAUGAAGUAAACUCUUGAAAUGAAGCUGUGAAUCCAGAUGAGAAAUAGAGAGAACAGACAUUUUUUGUCAAGGCCUGGACAGUUUAUAUAUUAUUGCUGGAUCUCAUGCAAUGCCAUACAGAAAACUAUUCUUCUUUCCAGACCCUGGCACUGCAGAAUGAUGAAUUCAGAGGAACGAUGCUGGGGUUGACCCCUUGAAACGGGAGGUUUCAGUUGUGCCAGCAGCGAUUGUUGCACCAGACCCAACCCCUCUGGCAACGGUGGCAACUGUUGUCAUACCAAUACCACCCCGACUGGCAGCGCUGGGCAGCAGCCUUUGCGAUUCCUCCCACGUCCACGCCCAUGGCCAGCACUAUCACAAACAUGGCAAGCGCCAAAAACACCACCAAGAAAGCCUUGUUCUCCAUGAUUUGCUGCUCAGACUAAGAUCAAGUAGGCUUGUAAAUGCUAGAGUGACUUUGGAGAUAAGGAUUUGAAGGAUUGGAGAAGCAUUAUAGGAAAAAGAAGAAUUGGCAAACACGGAACCACUUUUACUGGACUAACUUUCAAAUAUUCUUCCAGAGAUAAGAAAUAAGCGAAGCCGUCCCAAGACAACUGCCCAGCCACCAUCUAAAUUGUGCUGCCUCGAGCUAUAAAUACGAGCCCCUCCUGCCUCACAGAUCAAACCAUUCCUCUUCUAGCUUUGCCAAAACUUUACAAGAGUUUGAUUCAAAGUUCCAUAGAACUUCCAUGCUAAUAUAAACAUGAACCUAAUACCUUGUCUUCCGUUUCGACCACAGACUCAGUACGGCCGCUUCCAGUCACCCGCAACAUUAAUCAAAGUGGUUCGUCUUUUCUCACUGGCAGGCUCUUGACAAUCUCUUGGGCAUUCUAGAGCAAUCUGCAACAAUUAAUGGAAGUGAUAUCAAUAAUUAUCAAGAUUUUAUUCAUUAAAAUUGUUUUUCUUAUUUAAUUUACUUAUAAUUAUUUUCUGUUAUUCUAUUAAUUAAAUGUUGUACUUGUUGACUCUUUAAAUGGACUCAUGUGACGCAGCUGACAUGAGCACGUAAAGCGCCAGAGUCCCCUGGUUUCAUCUCCAAGAGUUUCUCUGCGGCACGAGCUGCAACAUUGAUGUUCUUGCCGUUACCACGAACUUUGCAAGCGCUGAUGAAGCUCUUCCACGCGAGGAAAUGCGGCUGGAAGGGCAUCACCAGCAGCAGACCUUCGGCCUUGGCAACCAGCCCGGCCCGUCCCAGCACAUCUGCCAUCGCCUGGAAGUGAAUCACAUUUGGAGAAAUACUGUACUCCGCCACCAUAGAUCGAAAGUAGUCGAGUGCCACACGGAGCUUCCCACCGUGAUUGCAAGUCAGGAAAAUCCCCUGGAAACUUAUCUCGUUUCUCGCCUCGCCCUCCAUCGCCAUGCUGCCAGCAAACAUCGCGCGCUGUGGCAUCCGUGCAAACAUCUUCCUGGCUUCUUCGAGGUGGCCGUGGUUGGAGUAGGCCAAGAUCAUGGCAGUCCACACCACGUCAUCGUGAUAAGGAGCUCGAUGGAAGAGAAUGCGAGCUUCUUCGAGCUGGUUUCUCUCGGCCAGUGCGGUGAUCAUUGUCGACCACGAUGCAAUGUUCCUCUGUGGCAUGCCAUCAAACAGAGACCUUGCUUCUUUCAGACUGGACGUUGCUGCUAGCAUUGCGUUCCACGAGCUUAAGUCGCGGUGUGGCAUUUUACUGAAAAGCUCUUUGGCUUUUUCCAUAUGCCCAAGCUGGGCAUAUGCAGUGACAAGAACAGUCCAUCCCAACUCGUUGGUUUCGGGGAUUCUCAUGAACAAAUUUAGCACGUCGUUAAAAAAUCUUUUCUGGAAUACCCAUUAUACAUAACAGUCCAAGAAACUAAGCAUUCCAUCAAAGAUCUGGCUUGCUUGAUCCAUAUGCCCCUUAUGGGCAUAUGCUGUAAGUAGCGAGUUCCAGCAAACUACAUCCCAUUCUAGAACACGAUCAAACAAUGCUUGGCACUCCUCCAAGUUUCCACGGUUUUCAUGAGCCGUGAGAAUAGAGACCCAUGCAAUAAUAUCUCUUUGUGGCAAACAGCUCUUUUGCUUCCUCAAGAUCCGCAUUUUGGGCAUAAAGCGCCAAGCAUCAAGUUCCAGGAGAAUCUGUUGGGCUCAUGGAUGGCUGAUAAACACCUGCCAUGCUCGAUCCCCGCGCUCGCACCUUCCUUAGAGCUGGAUGAGAAGAUUUGCGAGGUACCUGUUGGAUUGGUGGUGAAGGAUGAGCGCGUGGAGCCUGGCGCCAUGACGCAAAUCUCUUUUCUGGAUGCAAGCUGCUGUGAGGAGUUGCGCGUAGUCGUCGUCGAGCGACAAUGCACGCUGCUCUAGAUCAUCCACGGCCUGUUCUAGAGGCUUCAAUUGUUAGCAGCGAAGAGACACGGAAGAACUUUCUAUGUAUUUCAACUGUAUAUGGAUGGUACAUGUACAUGGAAACUACUGCCACGUGGGCAUAAUUACAUGUCACAUCAUCUCUACCUCUAACAUCAAUCGGUACGUCUGCGUGGUAGUGAUUCCUCUCAUCGAUGCUUUUACUGGCGUUUUCCUGGAAUACAGUAAACUCUUUCGACUGACAAAAUAGAGCUUUGAUUUGUCAAUGGCGAAUAAGCGUUUCCAAAGGUGGCAUUUCAUAUUGGAUUUCUGCUGUAAAAAGGAAAUGGUGGUCACAGUGUGUUCCCUCAACUUGUUCUUCAUAUUUAUCACAGUUUGAAUUAUACAUUCAAAAUUGCUAGAUAAUCCCCGAGAGGAAACUUAUGAUCCAUACCAGCGCUAUCCUCUAGGUGAGAUUCCUCCCACAUCCAUGCCCAUGGCAAGCAUUACAAACAUGACGAGCACCUAAAACAACAAUCUUUUUGCUGCUAGUAAGCUUGUUAUAUACUAGGCUCAUAGGGAUGGCAUCAGUUAGUUCUUAUCUCUUUGAGUUCCGUGUUUGGGAAUUUCUUUUCUUUUUUUCUAUAAUGCUGGAAAAAAGAAGAAAUUCCCAAACAUGAAACUUGACGACAGAGUCCCAACACAACUUUAUAGCUGCCUUGAACUAUAAAUAUGAGCCCUUUCUACUGUACAAAUCAAAUUGUGCCAAGAGUGUGAGGAAAAGGGUACAUACUUUGUUUAAUUGACGAUAGUUAAUGUAGAAAUAAAUACUCCUAUCAAGCUUCAUCACAUGAGGUUCAUAUGCCUAAAGAUUGCAUGACUUUUGAAUAACUCCAUUUUCCAACAUCUCCUUGACGUUUGCAUAUAAAAUCUUGAUCUUUUUGGGUAAUUGACAACGAAUAAAAACCUUAAUUGAACAAGCAUCCCCAGUUAGAAUAAGAUGAUAUGUUAUAAUCUUGGCUCUAUAUGAGAAGUCAAAUUCAAAGAAAUUUGCAUACUUCUCCAUGAGUCGGUCAACCAUUGCAAUAUAAAAACCGUCGGAGGGAUUAGAAAAAGAAAGAGAGAAACAUAACAGAAACUUAGGAGAAAGUAAUGGGGAGACAAAAGUGAUGGAAGUAGAGGUAGAAGCAAAAGGACAAAGAUGUAUAAAAGUGAAAGGAAUGGAAAAAAUAUCAAGAAGUAUGAGACAAAAGGGAGAAACUUCAAAUCAUAUUUGGCAUGAUUGUGCCACAACCAAUUCAUACUAAUGAUGAAGUCAAAAGCUUGAUUUAACACCACUUGCAAUGACUAUAACUCAAACUCGAAAUUGCUUACAUGCACAACUAAAUCCGCUUCAUCCCACACACAUACAUGUGUAUGACCAUUGCCAUAAAGAAUGAAAAAUGGUUUUACCACAUGACAUAAUGUAGAUGGCAACGUGUGGCAACAAGUCAAGUAAUAGAAGAUAAACUUGAAUCUAUAUUAACCAACACAAAAAGAAUAAUAAAAGACCUCUUGUUAUAAAAACGAGUUUGGAAAAUAAACAUUGAAUUAAUUGGUGUUAAAUGAACCCCUUAAUGAUACUCCUAAAAGAAAAAUGGAAGGGUUAUUGAUUUAUUUGUGCAAUGUCCCUUUUGUUACUCACAUGACUUUUGUUUUUCAAAUGCAUUUCAGUGUCUAGACCUUUCACUACAGCAGUAUCAACAAAACAUUGUUGAUGCUAAUGUUGCAAAUGUGACUUUAGGUGUCGAAAGUUACAUGUUGGUUAGUCCUUUCAAAUAUUCUUUCCUUACUGCCAUGACAAUAGGAGGUCGGUAUUGUUGGACCCUUUAUUAGUCCUUCUUGUUCAAGUGUUAAUAAACUAAACUUUGCAUUUAUAUUUGGCCGGAUGAGCAUAAGGAUGGAAUUCCUACAUGUCUAUUUAACUAAGUAUAUUUGGCCCGACUUGUUAGUUCUCUUUUGUUCUGUUUUAUAUUAGCUUGACAAGAACCUUCGUGUAUUGGGAUUAGUCCCUCAAUAUUCAUUAAAUGAUAACUUACCGUGUCUGCAAAACACCUUUACUAUCAUGCCCUUUGUAUUAGUCUCAUUUCGGUCCUAAAUGCUAUUUAUAGAAAGUGUCUAGAUUUACUCAUUUGGUAUAGAUUGUCCUAAACAUAAUGGUGUUUAUCCCAUAUCCAAAUUCAUAAUUUAGGGACAUUCCAUAUGUAAUAAGUUUUAAACUUGUCCUAGAGCUUGUCCCAAUCGUCAAUAUUUCCAAAUGCACAUUUGAAGACGUCCGGGAGAAUACUCUAAUCCUCAUAAGUGGUUGUGCUCAAACCAUUGUACCACUUUAGCAUCAUUGGAAACACACAGGAAACUCAUGCAAAUGUCAAAUAUCAUCCCAAUAAUGAUAUGCCCACAGAAGGAACUCUAGCCGAACUCGAGGAUUGGCAGUAAGAGUAAGAAGAAUUGCAAGCUACUAUCAAUUGAGUUUGGUUAUUCAACUACAAUCAUAUAACAUUGAACAAUUGCACCAACUAUUGCUCCAAAAACAAAGGAAGAGGAAAUUGUUACUUUGCCAUGAAGAGAGCAAAAGAAAAGAAAUGGAAAAAGCUAGAAGGAAAAGGAGAUCUAGACAAUGCAAAAGCUAGAUCUAAAAAAAAAGCAAAAGAAAAGAAAUGGAAAAAACUAGAACAAAAGAGAGAUUUAGACAUUUCAAAAACUAAAACAAAAAUCCCAAAUCCAAGCACUCUUUAGGGACAAUCAAAAUUGCCCCUCAUCUCCACCAAUAUGAGUGCAUGGAACAUAGAAAGAAAAUAUAAGAAAUAUACAUAUUAAUUAACCCAGAAACCCUAGUUUAUAUACUGGAGUGAGUGGUCUAGAUUGAAAUCAAUAUGAUAUCUAUCAAAAUCCCACUAUAUUAAUAUUAGUAUACAGUAUUGUAACUAUAUACUUGAACUUCACAAAACAUUUUAUAAAAUUAAUCUAAAUGAGAUGGUAAAAUAUCUGGGUAUAUUCUAGCUAUAUCCACUACCACAAAGGUUUUUUUAAGUAAAACAAAAAUUGAUAAAUUUAAAACCAUGAUUCUAUUUUAUUAAAAGUUACAUUAUAUAAAAUUAACUUUUUAUUAAAGGUUCUUAAUGAAUUGUACCAUAUAUGAGUUGAGACAAUCCCAUGUAAUAAUGAAAGCCCAAUUUUGCCAUCCAUACCAUUUAUCAGUUUGGAAAAAUCUAUAUCUAUUAAAAGUGACUUCUAUAAAAUAAGUUCUAUGUUCUACUUUUAAAAGUUUUAUCAUAAUGCCAAACAAUUGCAUUUCCAUAUUUAUUACAUACUUCAACUUCUGUUGUCAUAUCAGGAGCUCAGUCAUAAUCAUCUAAAUUGUUAGUUUGGUUCAUAUCAAUGGUUAUAUUAGUAUUAUUAUAGAGCUGUGUAUGAAUAAAUAUACUGGAAUAAUUUAAGUGAGACUCCAAGCUAUAAGAAAGCAUGUAAUGAAGUAAUAGAAAUGCUAUGAAUUUUAACAUUUUUGAAACAUACACACAUCUAGAUUUAAUUAGAUGAGUUUUUAUAGUGUCCAUUUUUGUUUUUUACAGCAUAUUGAUUAUAUGGACUAUGAGGUCAAUGUAUGAAGACAAACAGCUAGUAGUUAUUUUAAUUUGUCAGAAAACAUGGAAAGAAUAAUUGCUAAAAUAGCUGUUUGUCAACAUUCUAAUGGUAGCCUCAAAAACCUCUUGAAGUCCUUGCAAUAGUCAUAUAUCAUCCAAUUAUCUUUGACCCAUUAAAGCUUGUGUGUGGUACCCUCAUCCUUAACCAAAAACAUUGGACUUUCCCACCACUUUGGAGGCCUCCUUGUCUUAGUGCAAGAUCUUGGAGAACUCGAUGACCACUUGCAAGCAUCGAUCCCAAACCCCCGAAAAGAUGCCACAAAUGGGGAUUUGUUCCACUUGAUCUUCUCUAAUCCUCCACGAGUAGCCCAAUCGUCCCCAUUCCACAGGCUGGCGUAAACGCCCAUUGGUUUCGUGAGUGGAAAUGGAACGCCAAGCUCCGCCAUCUUGUUGGCAACACGCGGAUUGGCACGUCGUCCACGUAGAGUCUUGUUGUAAUGGCGAGAAAAAAUAAA
rnacentral:lncRNA from 1 species